UGGGGAAUAUUGCACAAUGGGCGCAAGCCUGAUGCAGCCAUGCCGCGUGUAUGAAGAAGGCCUUCGGGUUGUAAAGUACUUUCAGCGGGGAGGAAGGGAGUAAAGUUAAUACCUUUGCUCAUUGACGUUACCCGCAGAAGAAGCACCGGCUAACUCCGUGCCAGCAGCCGCGGUAAUACGGAGGGUGCAAGCGUUAAUCGGAAUUACUGGGCGUAAAGCGCACGCAGGCGGUUUGUUAAGUCAGAUGUGAAAUCCCCGGGCUCAACCUGGGAACCGCAUCUGAUACUGGCAAGCUUGAGUCUCGUAGAGGGGGGUAGAAUUCCAGGUGUAGCGGUGAAAUGCGUAGAGAUCUGGAGGAAUACCGGUGGCGAAGGCGGCCCCCUGGACAAAGACUGACGCUCAGGUGCGAAAGCGUGGGGAGCAAACAGG
rnacentral:rRNA from 1 species